UAGGGAAUCUUCGGCAAUGGACGAAUGUCUGACCGAGCAACGCCGCGUGAGUGAAGAAGGUUUUCGGAUCGUAAAACUCUGUUGGUAGAGAAGAACGUUGGUGAGAGUGGAAAGCUCAUCAAGUGACGGUAACUACCCAGAAAGGGACGGCUAACUACGUGCCAA
rnacentral:rRNA from 1 species